rnacentral:rRNA from 1 species
UACGGAGGGUGCAAGCGUUAUCCGGAUUCACUGGGUUAAAGGGUGCGUAGGUGGGUUGGUAAGUCAGUGGUGAAAUCUCCAGGCUUAACUUGGAAACUGCCAUUGAUACUAUCAAUCUUGAAUACCGUGGAGGUCAGCGGAAUAUGUCAUGUAGCGGUGAAAUGCUUAGAUAUGACAUAGAACACCAAUGCGAAGGCAGCUGGCUACACGAAUAUUGACACUGAUGCACGAAAGCGUGGGAUCAAACAGG